UCAUUAUAUGAGUUGAAAAAUUACAAAGAAAAGUUUCAUCGCAACUCUUGCGAUUGGCUUAUAUGGUACUCUUCUUUCAGAAAGUAAAGAGGAAGUGAAAGAAUAGAAAAAAAAUGAGAACAAAAAGGUAUAGGAUGUGCUGCAUGGUCAUUAGAUCCAUGCAUUUCUUGUCUUUCUUUAUUCUAUUGGAAUAGAGUGAUAUGUAUAUGUAUAUGUAUGUAUGAAUGUAUGUAUAUAUGCAUAUAUAUAUAUAUAUAUAUGUGUGUGUGUGUGUGAGAGAGAGAGAGAGAGAGGGAGAGAGCAUGUCACAACUACAACUGCGAAUAUCUAGUUGAGUUUAGGUCCAUCACAAUAAUGAAAAUCUCACAAAUUCUUUUUUUUUUUUUGGACUAUUACAUUUGAUAUCUAACACAUUCAACACUCUCCCUUAAUAAAGAAGGGAUGCAGAGAAGCUAAAAUCACAAUCAACACCUAUUCUAGGGUUUUUAACCUUUAUUUUGAAAAAAAAAAGCCUAAAACAAAAAAGGAGGCCCCUUGAUCAGAGCUCUAUGCCACAUAACCAGACCCAUAGAAUAAGAAGAAACCAAAGAAAGGAUAAGUGAAAGAAGGGG
rnacentral:lncRNA from 1 species